rnacentral:rRNA from 1 species
UGAAAUGAAUCGGCGGUCUCGUCGCAGCCUCCUUUGCGUAGUAACACACCACCUCGCAACCGGGAGCGCGGCGCGGCCACUGCCGUAAAACGCCCAACUUCUCCAAGAGUUGACCUCGAAUCAGGUAGGACUACCCGCUGAACUUAAGCAUAUCAAUAAGCGGAGGAAAAGAAACCAACAGGGAUUGCCCCAGUAACGGCGAGUGAAGCGGCAACAGCUCAAAUUUGAAAUCUGGCCCCCCGGGGCCCGAGUUGUAAUUUGCAGAGGAUGCUUUUGGCGAGGCGCCUUCCGAGUUCCCUGGAACGGGACGCCACAGAGGGUGAGAGCCCCGUCUGGUCGGAUGCCGAGCCUCUGUAAAGCUCCUUCGACGAGUCGAGUAGUUUGGGAAUGCUGCUCUAAAUGGGAGGUAUAUGUCUUCUAAAGCUAAAUAUUGGCCAGAGACCGAUAGCGCACAAGUAGAGUGAUCGAAAGAUGAAAAGCACUUUGAAAAGAGGGUUAAAUAGUACGUGAAAUUGUUGAAAGGGAAGCGCUCAUGACCAGACUUGGGCCCGGUGAAUCAUCCAGCGUUCUCGCUGGUGCACUUUGCCGGGCUCAGGCCAGCAUCAGUUUGCCCCGGGGGAUAAAGGCUCUGGGAAUGUGGCUCCUCCGGGAGUGUUAUAGCCCU